GGCGGGUGGAGCAGGUGUCGGGUAGCGGGGAGCUCGAGCGCGUCGCGACCCACAGGAGGAGCGGCCUCCGGGGCCCCGCGGACCCAGACCCCUGCGAUUCCGGGGGUCGGCCGGGGGCAGUCGUUUAUCACUGAAAAUGCACGCUUAAAGCUGUACAGUGUGAAGGCCAUGUGAGGACACAGUGAGAAGGUGGCCACCUGCAACCCAGAGGGAGAACAUCAACCCUCCUGGCACCUUGAACUUGGCCCUCCAGCCUCCAAAACCGUGAGGAAGAUGUUCUGCUGUUUAAGCCACUCAGCCUGUGGCAUUUUGCUCUUGCAACCCGGCUAAGACAGGGAGAGAGUCUUUGAUGGGUAGUAGCAAAGUCUGACCAAUUCCUGUGAUGGAAGUUGCAGUAGGACAGUAAGAGAGCUAUGGGGCCUCUUUUUUAAUGGCAAGUCUCAAACUCACAAAAGCAGAGAGGACCUAACAAACUCCACAUGCCCAUCAGCCAGCUUCAGCAAUUCCGGCCAGCUUCUGGCCCUUCACCGGCCCCAAGCACACUCAGGCCCAGCGCCCUAGCUGGCAUUGCCUCCAUGAAGCAGAUGCCCUUGUGCCCGCUACCAGGCCUCCGUGGCAGUGGAGACUCGCACUGCUCAGGGCAGACUGUGCGGAGACGGUUCUCAGCAUAGCAAGCACAGAGACGGAUGUACAGAUGCAAGGACUCUCCUGUACCUGCGUCAGGGAUGUGAGGUCACGACGGCAUGCAUGCAGGUGCUGCAGUCACCCUGUGACCACGAGGGACAAGCUAAGAGAACUGUUUAGCAAUUUCUGCCAUCAAAAGGGCAUCCCCCGCAUACAAGGACCCAGCAGCCAGGCUCCCCGCAUUUCCAUGGGUGACCAGGAAGGCUAUGUGGCCACAAGCUGAGGUAUUGCACGUGUU